rnacentral:rRNA from 1 species
GAUGAACGCUGGCGGCGUGCCUAACACAUGCAAGUCGAACGGAGUUUAUGUAGGAAGUUUUCGGAUGGAAUGUAUAAACUUAGUGGCGGACGGGUGAGUAACGCGUAAGUAAUCAACCUAAAACACACGGAUAACUAAGAGAAAUUUUAGCUAAUACGAGAUGAACUUUGAUAGUAGGGAUAUUAUCAAAGCAAAGCUGAGGCGGUUUUAGACGAGCUUGCGUCUGAUUAGCUAGUUGGUAAGGUAAGAGCUUACCAAGGCGACGAUCAGUAGCCGGCCUGAGAGGGUGAACGGCCACAUUGGGACUGAGACACGGCCCAAACUCCUACGGGAGGCAGCAGUGGGGGAUAUUGCACAAUGGGGGGAACCCUGAUGCAGCAACGCCGCGUGAGUGAAGAAGACUUUCGAGUCGUAAAGCUCUGUCGUAUGAGAAGAAUAAAAUGACUGUAUCAUACAAGAAAGCCCCGGCUAACUACGUGCCAGCAGCCGCGGUAAUACGUAGGGGGCAAGCGUUAUCCGGAAUUACUGGGCGUAAAGGGUGCGUAGGCGGCUUAGUAAGUCAAGAUUUAAAGGCAGCAGCUCAACUGCUGUUCGGUCUUGAAACUAUUGAGCUUGAGUAUAGGAGAGGAAAGUGGAAUUCCCAGUGUAGCGGUGAAAUGCGUAGAUAUUGGGAGGAAUACCGGUGGCGAAGGCGACUUUCUGGACUAUAACUGACGCUGAGGCACGAAAGCGUGGGUAGCAAACAGG